AAAAAGAAAAACCCUGGUUUCCGUGUUUAACGUUUGAUUGUCUGUCUUAUUUGAAAAAAUUAUAAAAAAAUAAAUAGACAAAUCACGCAUAAAAUAUUAAUCAUGUUUUAUUAUCUAACAACAAUGAAAAUACAAAUUAUAAAAAAAUUUUAUAUAAAACUGACAGCUAAAGUUGGACACGAAAAUCUAGAGUUUGCUUUUUU
rfam:Oryza barthii chromosome 6, whole genome shotgun sequence.